rnacentral:tRNA from 2 species
ACCAGGAUGGCCGAGUGGUUAAGGCGUUGGACUUAAGAUCCAAUGGACGUAGUCCUCGUGGGUUCGAACCCCACUCCUGGUA